AGAGCGAACGCUGGCGGCAGGCCUAACACAUGCAAGUCGAACGGACCCUUCGGGGUUAGUGGCGGACGGGUGAGUAACACGUGGGAACGUGCCUUUAGGUUCGGAAUAGCUCCUGGAAACGGGUGGUAAUGCCGAAUGUGCCCUUCGGGGGAAAGAUUUAUCGCCUUUAGAGCGGCCCGCGUCUGAUUAGCUUGUUGGUGAGGUAAUGGCUCACCAAGGCUACGAUCAGUAGCUGGUCUGAGAGGAUGACCAGCCACAUUGGGACUGAGACACGGCCCAAACUCCUACGGGAGGCAGCAGUGGGGAAUCUUGCGCAAUGGGCGAAAGCCUGACGCAGCCAUGCCGCGUGUAUGAUGAAGGUCUUAGGAUUGUAAAAAUACUUUCACCGGUGAAGAUAAAUGAACUGUAGCCGGAGAAGAAGCCCCGGCUAAACUUCGUGCCAGCAGCCGC
rnacentral:rRNA from 1 species